rnacentral:rRNA from 1 species
CAGCCGCCGCGGGAAUACAGAGGGUGCAAGCGUUAAUCGGAAUUACUGGGCGUAAAGCGAGCGUAGGUGGUUUGUUAAGUUGGAUGUGAAAUCCCCGGGCUCAACCUGGGAACUGCAUCCAAAACUGGCAAGCUAGAGUAUGGUAGAGGGUGGUGGAAUUUCCUGUGUAGCGGUGAAAUGCGUAGAUAUAGGAAGGAACACCAGUGGCGAAGGCGACCACCUGGACUGAUACUGACACUGAGGUGCGAAAGCGUGGGGAGCAAACAGGAUUAGAUACCCCAGUAGUCCCUGUCUCUUAUAC